AUCUUUAUCCACUGCAGUCCAGAGGUGUGCCAUCCCUCUUCUGGCUCCUGUGAGCAAAGCUGCACCAGGAAACGGAGAGACACUCAUGCCAAGACCAUCUCGAGUGGAACGACAGUGGUUUCUAGUGGAGAAGUUACUCUGGUCAUGUGAAUUCGGUGGGUUUUAAUAAACCAUGAAACUUCAAGAUU